rnacentral:rRNA from 1 species
CGGAGAUGUCGACUGGAGUUGUGCCCUUGAGGCGUGGCUUCCGGAGCUAACGCGUUAAGUCGACCGCCUGGGGAGUACGGCCGCAAGGUUAAAACUCAAAUGAAUUGACGGGGGCCCGCACAAGCGGUGGAGCAUGUGGUUUAAUUCGAUGCAACGCGAAGAACCUUACCUACUCUUGACAUCCAGAGAACUUAGCAGAGAUGCUUUGGUGCCUUCGGGAACUCUGAGACAGGUGCUGCAUGGCUGUCGUCAGCUCGUGUUGUGAAAUGUUGGGUUAAGUCCCGCAACGAGCGCAACCCUUAUCCUUUGUUGCCAGCGGUUCGGCCGGGAACUCAAAGGAGACUGCCAGUGAUAAACUGGAGGAAGGUGGGGAUGACGUCAAGUCAUCAUGGCCCUUACGAGUAGGGCUACACACGUGCUACAAUGGCAUAUACAAAGAGAAGCGACCUCGCGAGAGCAAGCGGACCUCAUAAAGUAUGUCGUAGUCCGGAUUGGAGUCUGCAACUCGACUCCAUGAAGUCGGAAUCGCUAGUAAUCGUGGAUCAGAAUGCCACGGUGAAUACGUUCCCGGGCCUUGUACACACCGCCCGUCACACCAUGGGAGUGGGUUGCAAAAGAAGUAGGUAGCUUAACCUUCGGGAGGGCGCUUACCACUUUGUGAUUCAUGACUGGGGUGAAGUCGUCAAAGGGGAAACC